CGAGGGCAUGUCUGCCUCAGCGUC
rnacentral:rRNA from 4 species